rnacentral:rRNA from 1 species
UACGGAGGGGGCUAGCGUUGUUCGGAAUUACUGGGCGUAAAGCGCACGUAGGCGGCUUUGUAAGUUAGAGGUGAAAGCCCAGGGCUUAACCCUGGAAUUGCCUUUAAGACUGCAUCGCUAGAAUCGUGGAGAGGUGAGUGGAAUUCCGAGUGUAGAGGUGAAAUUCGUAGAUAUUCGGAAGAACACCAGUGGCGAAGGCGACUCACUGGACACGUAUUGACGCUGAGGUGGCGAAAGCGUGGGGAGCAAACAGGAUUAGAAC